rnacentral:misc_RNA from 1 species
AAAUUAUCAAAGCAAAUAUUUUCGUUAAUUCGACUGCCUUUGCUUUGGACUUGGGGGCCUGCAGAUCUCACAGUCUGCUCCUCUGAAAUGCAUUAGCUGGAUUCUCAGUGAGCUCGGUUCCACUCGGCGUGAUAAGUAUCACUCGCUGAGGACACCCGUUAAAAAAGGUGGCCAGGCUUGCGGAUGAACUGCUUCCAACGGUCUAUUGACUUAGACAAUGAAUUUUCG